GCUACAACUCUGCUGCAGGUUUGUUACAACUUGUGCGUUUUUACGUGUGUACAAGUAGCCAAACUUCUAACCUCCCGACGAAGGGCGUUGCCGCCUUGGCUCGAAACGUCGAAGUUCUCCUUGUAUUUUACAGGUACACACGUAAAAACGCACAAGUUGUAACAAACCUGCAGCAGACUUGUAGCAAUGCUGUUCCAACAACUUGUCAUCAAGAUGUGUUCGCAUUGCUUGUUCCCAGCUUGUUGACAAGUUGUCAACGGCUUGUUGGCAACUUGCUACAAGUUUGUUGAGCUCAACAGACUUGUUACAAGUUGUUCCAACAA